rnacentral:rRNA from 1 species
UACGUAGGGUGCGAGCGUUGUCCGGAAUUAUUGGGCGUAAAGGGCUCGUAGGCGGUUUGUCGCGUCGGGAGUGAAAACACCGGGCUUAACUCGGUGCUUGCUUUCGAUACGGGCAGACUAGAGGCAUGCAGGGGGAGAACGGAAUUCCUGGUGUAGCGGUGAAAUGACGCAGAUAUCAGGAGGAACACCGGUGGCGAAGGCGGAUCUCUGGGCCAUUACUGACGCUGAGGAGCGAAAGCGUGGGGAGCGAACAGG